AGUCUGAUUGCACAAUUUUCCAUUAGAGAAGUUUCAUACCUGUUAGAUCUCCUGCUGCCAGGAACUAACCUCCUGGGAGACAGGUCUUAUCGUCAUCCAGGCAUAUAGGAGGGUGUUGGGAAAACACUUGUAGUGGAUGCUGGAUUGUGCCAUUCAGAGCCAGCUCCCUUUGCUAUUGAAGAACUUAUUUCCCUACAUGUCAGGACUUCUGCUGGCUGAUGGCCCCCAGCUGUGAGCUCUUUCAGGCAUCACCUUUGGCUGCAAAAGGCUCCCUCUCCUGAAGUUACUACCUGCAUCCCUGGAGGCAGACUUCAUCUCAUGUCUUCAUCCAAAGUUUGAACAAAUUGGCUAAGAAGGUGCUAGACAUGUAAAGGGACUAUUUUUUUUCUUAAUUCAAAUGUAGGAGGAGUAUGGAUCUCCAGGAACCAGAAGAGCUGCAUACAUAUGCCCAACAAUUCAGCGACAGCACCAUCAGCCCAGAUGGGGGUUGUGAGCAAAGUCCGAGAUGGUCAGAAGGAAACGAGAACCUGGGAGGUGGCGAGUGUCCACUGCUCUAGUCUCAGGACAGCCUGCUCUGUUAAAGCACCUGGUCCUUCUUCCUGAAGACUUCAGUCCCACCUUGCAUUAUGUUUUGUUCUGUGUAUGUGCGUGUCUAUCUCUCCUGCUAACUGCUGAGCUUGCUAAGGAAAGGAACCUUGUUUUAUGAAAUAAAUGAUAUUUAUGAGCUCCUGUGCUAUGGUCUGA
rnacentral:lncRNA from 1 species